GUCUCACUAUGUACCCCGGGCUGGCCUGCACUCACUAUGUAGCCCAGGCUGACCUCGAACUGGAAGCAAUCCUCCUGCCUCAGCCUCCUGAGUGCUAGGAUUACAAGCAUGUUCCACCACACCUGACAACACCUGAGCUUUAGAGUCAGGCCCAAUUUGGGCUAAAUCCCAGCUCUGCAGCUGAAUCUGUGUGACCUUGACCUGUCUCUGAGCCUCGGUUUUCUGAUACAUAGCACAAGAGUAAUAAUACCUCAAAGGAAAGCCUGGCAUAGCCAGAGGCAGCCUGAGCACAGAGCACUGAGGCUUUUUGGAGAGCUCCUGGGGCCCCAACCAUCAGCCCCACAAGCCAGGCUAGAGGGUCUGCAGCCCACUGGCUGGGUAACCUCGGGAAAGUCAUGGCAACUUCUCUGAGACGUUGGUCUCUCGCAUCAGGUGGAUGCUGAUGCUAAUCCUAUUCCCAGAAAAAGCAACGCAGACUGAUAAAAGCUUCGCUCACUUUGGCUCCACACCAUCUGGCCCCUGGCGGGCAUGGACCCAGGAGACCCAGGAGGCCAAAACCAGGGGACCAAGGAAGGUUAUGUGGUAAGUUCUGGAAGAAAAAGGCCACCAGUGUGUCAGAGAAGAACUGGAAGAGGGUGGCCAGGAAGGUCCCCCAGGACCAGGAGUCACACAGGACAUCAGAGGGGAGAGCAGCUGCAGUGUCCCAGGGCAAGGGCACAGCUGUGACGGAAGCCGGGGCAGCGCCAUGGCCUGCAGCAUCCUGGUUGCUCACUCCGCUGCUGGGCAGAGAAAUGGACUGUGGGGGACAAUUAGACCAGACCGUAUGCUUCUUGAGGCCAGAGACUAUGUCUUAUUCAUCCCUGUAA
rnacentral:lncRNA from 1 species